GCAUACCACUGUUAAUGUGCACGGUGGUGAUGUAAUAAAACGCACAUUCUUAGGAGUUAUGACAGAUGGCAUUAUCUGCUGAAAAGAAAGCUGAAAUCGUAAAAGAGUAUCAAACUGCUGAA
rfam:Thalassolituus oleivorans MIL-1 complete genome